rnacentral:rRNA from 1 species
AUUGAACGCUGGCGGCAUGCCUUGCACAUGCAAGUCGAACGGUAACGGGCCUUCGGGUGCCGACGAGUGGCGAACGGUGAGUAAUGUAUCGGAACGUACCUUUCAGUGGGGGAUAACGUAGCGAAAGUUACGCUAAUACCGCAUAUUCUGUGAGCAGGAAAGCAGGGGAUCGCAAGACCUUGCGCUGAUUGAGCGGCCGAUAUCAGAUUAGCUAGUUGGUGAGGUAAAGGCUCACCAAGGCGACGAUCUGUAGCGGGUCUGAGAGGAUGAUCCGCCACACUGGAACUGAGACACGGUCCAGACUCCUACGGGAGGCAGCAGUGGGGAAUUUUGGACAAUGGGGGCAACCCUGAUCCAGCCAUGCCGCGUGAGUGAAGAAGGCC